rnacentral:tRNA from 2 species
GGCCCGAUAACUCAGUGGUAAGAGUGCCACUCUUAUAAGGUGGAAGUCGGCGGGAUCAAUACCCCCUCGGGCUAC